rnacentral:rRNA from 1 species
CAGGCCUAACACAUGCAAGUCGAGCGCGACCUCGGGUGAGCGGCGGACGGGUUAGUAACGCGUGGGAACGUGCCCUUCUCUACGGAAUAGCCUCUGGAAACGGAGAGUAAUACCGUAUACGCCCUUUGGGGGAAAGAUUUAUCGGAGAAGGAUCGGCCCGCGUUAGAUUAGGUAGUUGGUGGGGUAACGGCCUACCAAGCCUACGAUCUAUAGCUGGUUUUAGAGGAUGAUCAGCAACACUGGGACUGAGACACGGCCCAGACUCCUACGGGAGGCAGCAGUGGGGAAUCUUAGACAAUGGGGGCAACCCUGAUCUAGCCAUGCCGCGUGAGUGAUGAAGGCCUUAGGGUCGUAAAGCUCUUUCGCCUGUGAUGAUAAUGACAGUAGCAGGUAAAGAAACCCCGGCUAACUCCGUGCCAGCAGCCGCGGUAAUACGGAGGGGGUUAGCGUUGUUCGGAAUUACUGGGCGUAAAGCGCGCGUAGGCGGAUUAGAAAGUUGGGGGUGAAAUCCCGGGGCUCAACCUCGGAACUGCCUCCAAAACUACUAGUCUAGAGUUCGAGAGAAGUGAGUGGAAUUCCGAGUGUAGAGGUGAAAUUCGUAGAUAUUCGGAGGAACACCAGUGGCGAAGGCGGCUCACUGGCUCGAUAC